GUUGUUGAUUUGUUGUUUAAAUAAGAAAAUCUUCCCAUAUUGCAUAUGGGAGGAGAAUAUCUGUUAUUUUGUUGUCUAUGCAUGAAUAUGAUGGGUAGGGAAACAUCACUUCUCUCCUGAGUUUUCUCCAUUAUUGCGUUUUCUCCCUCUUUGUUUUCUCCCUCAAUUUUCUCUUUCUCCAUCUUUCUCUUCAGAAUCUUCUUCUCUUUUCCUUUUAUUCUUUUUGUUUCUUCCUUCAUGCAAGCGAUUCCGGCUCCAUGCCCAUAAGUUGCUGAGGACGAGUUUUUACCGCAGCACAUUGACCUCAAGUAUUUCCUUCUUUUUUCCUUUCUUUUUCUUGAUAUCUAUUUUCUUUAAGCUUCCUUUUCUCUGCAAGUAUUUUCCGCUAUGGCCAAAGAAUUUGUGAAUGGCUUUGUUCAUCAAAACGGCAUCGCUAUCAUAACCCGCAAUCCCCCCAAAGGUAGUUUCUUCUUUCUUUCACUCCAGCUUGGUAUCUAAUGUUUUUUUUUUGUGUUUUUUUUGUGGUGUUGUUGAUUUGUUGUUUAAAUAAGAAAAUCUUCCCAUAUUGCAUAUGGGAGGAGAAUAUCUGUUAUUUUGUUGUCUAUGCAUGAAUAUGAUGGGUAGGGAAACAUCACUUCUCUCCUGAGUUUUCUCCAUUAUUGCAUUUUCUCCCUCUGUGUUUUCUCCCUCAAUUUUCUCUUUCUCCAUCUUUCUCUUCUGAAUUUUCUUCUCUUUUCCUUUUAUUCUUUUUGUUUCUUCCUUCAUGCAGGCGAUUCCGGCUCCAUGCCCGCAAGUUGCUGAGGAUGAGUUUUUACCGCAGCACAUUGACCUCAGGUAUUUCCUUCUUUUUUCCUUUCUUUUUCUUGAUGUCUAUUUUUUUGAAGCUUCCUUUUCUCUGCGAGUAUUUUCCGCUAUGGCCAAAGAAUUUGUGAAUGGCUUUGUUCAUCAAAACGGCAUCGCUGUCAUAACCCGCAAUCCCCCCAAAGGCGAUUCCGGCUCCAUGCCCGCAAGUUGCUGAGGACGAGUUUUUACCGCAGCACAUUGACCUCAAGUAUUUCCUUCUUUUUUCCUUUUUUUUCCUUUCACGACAGCUUGGUAUCUAAUUUUUUUUUAACCUUCAUUUUCUCUGCGAGUAUUUUCCGCUACUGCCGAAGAAUUUGUGAAUGGCUUUGUUCAUCAAAACGACAUCGCUGUUCAGAUUCAAAAUAGGAAGUAAAUUAGGUGACUGAUGAAAUAUCCAAAAUAAGUACUUGCAUACACAAAAAAUUGGUACUUCCAUGAGGGUAACAGAUGAUUAAAGUUGAAUUUCAUUAUUUAAUCUCUUAUUCUCUUUCAUGUAUUAUACUAUACAAUAGUGUUUUUUUUAAAUAGGUUUUCUUUUGCAUUAUUCAACUGAUUAUUUGUAAUAACCAUGAUCAAUAAUCAACAGGGACAUUCACCAACAUAGAUACAGAUUUAAAUGUCUUGAAGAAGAGGAUAGAGACGCUGCAUUUGUAAUAACCUUGAGUUCUUUUGAUAAAAUUUAUGUUCAAAAACCUUGGACGGGUUGCUGGUGUUCUUUUUCCUGUUACUUUAUUCUUUGAAAUUAAUGUUACUAUUAUUCAAUA